GGAUAGUUUUUAGUACGUAAGGGCCAUGGAUGGCGAAUCGUGCAUGCUGCUAUUAAGAACCAGCAUCUUUUGAAGAUCUUCUACACC
rfam:Glossina pallidipes unplaced genomic scaffold Scaffold7, whole genome shotgun sequence.